rnacentral:lncRNA from 1 species
CAAAUCGCUGACCGAACCGCUCGCGUGCCUGUCACUGGCAUAGCCUGAACAGCGUGCAAAGCGGGCCACUGCGGAUGAUGGAGAUUGUCCUCAGAGGAAUUUGAUUCCCGUCGGCGAUGAAGAGGAACGCCACCCGCGAUCAGUUGUACCCGACAAAAAGGACCCGAUUGACUCGCGCUGUCGAUGCACACUGCCACCCCGCGCUUUCGUCGUACGAUGGUCGACAGUGAGGCCUCGAAAGAUGCAGCGGUUGGGUGGUGGUCAGGGAGAGGAUGAAGAUCUCCUUCAUGAGAACCGGCGAUUCCGAUCUCACCUGCAUAGGUUUGCAGGGGCUAGUGGACACGCAAUCGUUGCGUUGUCAUUGGCGACCUUUUCAGGCGGCGGGAAGCUGGCUGGGCAUUGUCCGUCCUGCUAAUUCCUUAGGUGUCAGCUAGGUUUCUUCCUAAGGAAGAAGAUUGUGCCUAAAUUACAAUUCUGA